AUCGCUUUUCAGCCUUUUGGCUAAGAUCAAGUGUAGUAUCUAUUAUCAGUUUAAUAUCUAAUAUGUCCUCUAACCUAGGACAAUAUAUUAAAUGGAUUUUUGGAGCAGGGAGAUGGAAUAGGAGCUUGCUCCGUCCACUCCACGCAUCAACCUGGUAUUGCAGGAAAUGUUAAAGUGCCACAAAC
rnacentral:snRNA from 1 species